rnacentral:lncRNA from 1 species
UAGUAAUGAAAGGAAGAAGGAGAGAAAGUCCGUUGGGAGCCAGGUAACAGUCUUUUUCCCAGAUCCUCAGCCAGGCUGCCUGGUGACAACAUUCCGAGAUUGCCAGGCAACUGACUUCAUCCUCCUUCUAUCUCUGGUCUCACUUUCCUCCCUAAGUUUUCUUCUUCUCUUCAUGUUUCUGCUCUUACCUCCUUCUCAGGUUCUGCUAGCCCUUUGGGAUAUCAGGCCUUCAGAAGUAGCUCAGAAGAAAGGCUAUAUGAGGACACAGCAAGAAGGUGGCUGCCCACCAGCCAGGAAGAGAGCCCUCACCAGGAACUGAAUCUACUGGCACCUCCAUCUGGGACUUCCAUCCUCCAGACCUGAAAAUGCAAGAGGAGAGAGAUAAAUUGAAAGAAUUGUUAAGCAAAAAGGAAGUAGAAGUUGAAGACUUGGAAAAUUCUCAGCCUACCCAUGUUACAAAAAGCUGUGGUACUGUGUUAUGUCAGCCCAAGUGGACUAAUACGAUAGCUUACGCCAUUGUAAGUACUUUAAAGACAUCAGCUAUUCUAACAUAUACCCAUGAGAAACGU